CUGGGGCCCUCCUGCUCUUUGCUUUUCCCUCUCACAGCUCUGCACUCUCAAGCAAUCCCCAGCAGAAAUGCCAGUGCCCAGAGCCCACAGGACCAACCUCGACUCACACCAGCGAUGCCACUGCUGCCCCAACUCCAGAUCCCUCCUACCAUGGCACUCACAGCUCCAAGGCCACUGCAGGGCUGGAGUAGCUUUUCCUUGGCAUGCAAGUGAAGCAGAGACAGGCUCAGCUCUGAAACCUCUGCAGAGCAAGAAGUCCCUGAAUGAGGUCGAGGCCCCUGCUCAGCCCAGCACUGUUCGGCCGAACGAGCGGCUGGGGAAGCCUGAAGCGGAAUCACAGGGCAGAGAAGAAACGUCCCAAGGGAACGUCACCAGCGUAGUCAUCUCCACACAUGCAAAGGUCCCUUCUGCCUUUUUUUUUUUUUCCCCUUUGAAAUUUCAAAUUCCAGUUUGUGGACAAAGUCCUGCCUAUCUGAGAAUAUAGAUCUCCGACCACUGACCAAACUCCACUCCAAGCAGUCCUGAGGGCUGCUCUUCCCUUGCCCAUGGACACCUCUGCUCAGACCCUGGAUCUGCCAGGAUUGCGCCCAAACUUUUGCACCGGAGCAGAGAGUUCCUCCUUGCACAAAACGGAUUUUGUGUGUUUCAACCUCAACAUCAGCAGCUCCCUUUCUCCACAUGGAAUGGCAAGGACCAUCAGGAAUAACCAGGUUCACUGUCUACACUGGCAGAUGCUCAGCUCGAAUCCAGCCCUGUUUCAAUGUGGGAGCCGAAGCCACAGGGAAGCAGCAACACUGGAGAGAGGAUUUGCUGACAGCAGCAAUCACCUAUUGCUUUCCAUGCCUCGCCAGCUCACACAUUUAGUGUGGCAGGGAUCAGAGCAUCCCACAUCUGGACCUGGAGAGAACUUGUUUAGCAGGGUGUGCAGAAUGCCUGAAUACCCUGUCCUGUCCCCAGUGUCCUCAGCCACCACAGCACUCUCCUGUGCAACACAACCAUCCUGACUGCUGCCACAGACACAAGAACUGCCACAGAAACACCACCAGCAGAAUGCAAGAUGACGUUCCUCCUGCCAAACCUGCCUCUCUCUUGCUGUGCUAAGAAGGAAGGAGCUCAUUCCUGCCCUCUGGAGAUGUUGGACCCUGAGCACCAUCUCAAAGGCGUGAGUCCAGUGGAGGAAACCGUUCCUCAACUGUUUCUGUCCUGUCUCCACCAGCCUCCACUCCCACCCAGAGCAGCCUGGAGUGCAUUUAAGUUGAUUGGGAGAGCACAUGGCUGCAAGCAACUUCCAGAAGGCUCCUGAUGGGUUAGUAAUGGGGAAUGACCAGCAGGUCUGUGCCUGGGGAAGGGGUGCACUGGCAAGGGGAGCUGAUGCCCAGCGGGCCCAUGUGAAGCAGGGAGCACCACUGAGGGCAAGACUGGGUCUGAACUGUGUGUAACACCUGCCUUCACCCCUCUGUUUCCACACCAGUUUUAAUGCCUGUAAUAGAGAAACACACCCAGAUCAACUGAGGUUUCUCCCAGACACUGCCAGUCCCUGAGCACACACCCAUAGAUGGAACCACAGGCAGCACCUGUCUCUGCUUCCACCAGGGUGUCCACAUGGUGGCAAAGCCACCACCUCCGUCCCACCACCAUUUAGCAGCAGACCCCAGGCAGGGGGGCAGCCAGGGCUGUGGGUCUGUGAUGUUCAUCCCCUUGCCCCUCCCGCCUCCUUAUUUCACCCUUCACUUCCCAGUGCCACCUUUGUCCUGCUGACACCAGGCUCUGCAUGGGCUGGGUCCCCUGGGCAUCCACUGGGGCCUUCUCUGUUCCUCUCUGCUGGGACCUGGCUGAGCCUGCCCAUCCCUGGGGCAGCACCUGCUGCUGCUCACAAGCCGUGGUGGCUGCAGGCGAGGGGCUGUGCAGUUUUGCUGGACCUGCAGCACCAGCAGGGCUUUUUUCUAUGGGGCAGUUGUUACUUGACACCUUCCACCAAGCCCCCCAGUGUUGUCCUGUCCAUUAACCUGGCACACCACCCAGCCUCCCAGCCCAUGGCCAAAUUUCCUUGGGUGACCUUAGCACCAGUGACUCCUCUUCCCACACCGAGCUGCUGCUUUUCACUGGUAUGGUUGGGAGGACCCUGGCAGCUGGGGCACAUUGCAGAGGAGCAGCAGCAGCUUCUUCUCACAGCGGGGCAAGGCUUUGGGGACCCUGUGGCAAAAUGAUGAGCAGAAGGGGAGAGAAGUGGGUGAGUGGGGCAGGAGGAGCCGGGCUCUGCAGCCCCCGGAGCGGCGCUGGGCCGGGACCGCGGCGGCUGUCGCUGCUGUGUCUGCAAACACCUCGAGUGGGCUUGACUGUUGAUUCUCACCAUAUAAAAGGCUGUUGUGGCACUUGUUCAGGUUUGUGCAGGUUUUACAGCUCUUGUUCUGAGAAGUGCCCGUGUAUUUGGUUUUGCUCCUUCCUUCAGGUCUAUCUGUUGACUUUGGCUCUCCUAACCAGAGCGUUGGGCCAUGACAGGAAGCUGAGUGUACAGCUCUCCCCACUUUUCCCUCUUUCCCAGGGGUUAUCACCUAUAAAAUCUUGCACACACCCUUGGCUGGGACAUGUUUCUGGUGCAGAGGCAGGUGAAAGGUGCCUACUGGUCCCACGCUAGUGGGUUCAGGUUUGGCCCAGCAGGAGCUGAGCCACCCACCCUGUCAGAUUAGUUUUAGGGUGGAUAGGUGGGGAAGGGUCUGCCCUGGGCAGCUUGGGGUGGGAUGAGCAAAGUCAGAUCUGUACAGAUGGAAGUCUGAGUGUCAAAGCAGGUUGGCUGGGAGGGAGAAGGUGUCAGGGCUCCCUGACCAACAUCACAAAGGAGAUGGCCCACACGUAGUGACCCACAGCAGAGUGUUACCCCUUCCCCACCUCCAGUCCUCUUCCCAGCAGGAGAUGCCAGCACUGGCUGAGCUUCAGGGACACCUUGGUGCUGGGUGGUCAGAGAGCUCGAGCCUGGGGUGAUGUCCAUCAGCACAGGGGCUCCUGGUGCCAUGGGGAUGCAGCUGGAGUCCCUCUGGUGGCUGCAGCAUUUUGGGAUAGAAAGUCUUGUCUGACCCUACAGACCAUUGACUUUUUUGGAGCCAGAAUCUGUCUACCCCUCGACUGUGGGUGUCUUUCCACAGCCACUUGCUCUGCAUGGAACUUCUCCUCUUGCACCUUUGGUGCAUGAUCCAGAGCCCACCAUUGGUUUUUGAGGCAUGCAUUUCCUGAAGGGUUUUGCUGGGUGAUUUCUGUUGAUGUUCAGGCUGAAGGUUGGGCAGGAGCCAUUCCUGGGUGUUAUUACUUCUGGAACACAGCUUAGCUGGAAGGCCCUUGUGGGAAUCUAGUGCCUCUGCUUGGCACUGGUGAGCAGAGCCAUAAACCCUGACAUGAUAUAGCCACUACCUUGAAAUUUACCUUCUGUGAAAAUUCUACAUUUGCCAUUUCCUCAAACAUUUCUGCCAGGAACGUUAUUUGCUUGGAUAUUUGAGGAAAGCAAACAGACAAGGAACCUGAACACAGUUGUGGAGCUUUUUUUUUUUUGUUUUUGCCCCAUUCUAACCCUGAGCUUGCCAGCUGAGACACUUGCAGGUAUCCCCCCCUGCCUAAUGCACCCCUUGGCUCUGCCCUUUGAGCUUUCCUGUCCCAAUCCCACUGCAAAUAUCAUUUAAGAAAUGCCAGCAGCAGACUAACUGACUUGCAGACCUCCACCUGCCCUGCAGAGCUCAAAAUAGCUCUCAGACACUCCUCAAACCUUGCCAGCCUCCUGCUGCUCACCUCCUCGAGCUGGAGCUCCCUGCCCACUUAUAGGAGCCCUCUGUGCUACCUCCCCCUUGUAAAAAUACCAUAGUGUUUUCAAGUGAAGCCAAAGACAAGGGUGUGCUGCUGACUUGGUAAGUGGCUGGGGUGAGGUGGCUGUCCCCACACAGUGGAAGUCACCCUGUGACACUGAGCAGCAUCCCUGCAGCCCCCCACGAUAUGGGGAGCACUGAGCAGCAUCUCUGCAGCUCCCUGUGAUGGGGGGAGCAUCCCCAGCUCUUAGCCAAAGAAACCACCACCAGGCAGCAGCAAACAGCACUCGGGAUCAGGCCAAGCUGGCUCAAGCAGGGAUUGUCCCUUUUGCAUCCUGUCUAAAUACCAGUGCUUAUUCCUGGAUGCACUAAGACCCUGCUCAGAUGUUUCUUGCCCCAGUAAGUGCUGGCCCUGCCAGCACCAUGGCCGCCCUCAACAGCCAGCAGGGAUGGUGGGAAUGGGGAUGGGAAAGGAGGCUGUGCUGGGUGUCCUAACACCCACCCAUCCCUGACAGCCUCUGGGACAUGGACACAGAGCACAAGGAGUAAACAGGAAUUAAAGAGCAGCUGACAUGAGAAAUGAAGGGGAGAAAAGCUCAGUGUGGGUAAUAUCUAGUGGAAAGCUACAAAAACUUAGAUCCAUUUGGCAAUGGAAAACAAUCACUUUGCACUGAAAAGUAAACAUUUUUAGAAAUUCUGCCCCCUUUUGUGUUCUUCAGCUGAAAACUAUUCCCCAGAUCUGACCAGCCUCUCUGAACAGCUCUGACGUCUCACAUUUUUCAGCGAAUUUCCAAAGCUGCUUUGCAGAGCUGGCCCCAAUCAUGUACUGGGCCCUGCUGUAACCACUGGCCUCAGGGAUCCCCAGCUCCAAGAGCUGCUCCCAGAGUACAAAGGAGCAGUGCUGCCUGCGCUGGGAUUGAGGGGAAUUGCCUGGAUUAAGCCCAAGUCUCACGGGGGGGUAAAGCUGGAGCUGGGGGCUCGUUGCCUCCUCGCUGCCCAAGGGUGGACUGUCCCCUCACCCCCUCUCCAUCCCCUACCCUCUCACACACCCGUUUGCAGCCUUCCCUGGUGAUUUAGCACCAGCAUUCCUGGAGGAGCUCACUCCAGCUGACCAGUGAGUGCUGAUGAGGAUGCUGAAUGUGCCCCCAGCCCCACAGCUCUCCAGAAGAGAUGCAUCCAAGAUGCACCCAGGGAUCCACGCAGGGUGCUGGGGACAGGAGGCAUUUGUCACUGCCUGGCAGGGCGUCCUCCAAGCCAUUUACACAAGGCACAGGCCUGAUAGGAGGGAAAUAAGUGUCCCCGAGGUAUGGUUUAAGGGGAAUGCUGGUGGCAGUUUGGGGCAGGGAUGGAUGGGAGGGAUGCUCCAGUCUCUGCUCUUACUGAUGCCACCUCUGCAGAGAGCGGGCUUGUCCCCAGGACAAGUGCCAGUGCUCAGCUUCCCACUUAGAUUGUAUCCCUGGCUUCACAUGGAUGCUGUGACCCUGAGAAGGGUUUGGCUACCACUUUGCCAUCUGUCAGUGGAGCAUCCUGGCUGCUGUGCCCACUUUGCUGCCCACCCCAGCCCCAGCCCUGAGGCACUGCAGGCUCCCUGGGAAGCCAAGCACUGCCCAGUCCCCCAUCCUGGCCAGCCCUUCCUCACCUCUGUUUGGAUAACUUUUUCACCCAUUUUAUUUGUGAGGACUCCCCUCCUUCUGCCAACACUCCCAAGUUUCCUCUUGCUUUGGUCUGGGAAGCCUGUCUUGCUUUUUUAUUCUUACUCUUUUUUUCUCUCUCCCCCUUGCAAGGCCCCUGGCUCAGCAGCCUGGCCCUGAGACAGGCAGGUCUCUUUGUUUGGCCACAGGAGCAGAUGGGGAGAGGGGCUGCAGGUGGGACCUGCACUGGAGACCUGCAGUGAUCCUUCCCUGGCCACCCCACAGUGCCCUUCUCUGCCUGCCCUGGCUUGGCCCGUGGUUUGUUCACUGACCCUCAGGCUGAAAAAUUAGGAGAAGAUCAGGAUUAUUAAAAAAAAUAAAAUAAAUCAGGAGAAAAUUAGCAACACAAA